rnacentral:rRNA from 1 species
GCAACCCUUAUCCUUUGUUGCCAGCGGUUCGGCCGGGAACUCAAAGGAGACUGCCAGUGAUAAACUGGAGGAAGGUGGGGAUGACGUCAAGUCAUCAUGCCCUUACGACCAGGGCUACACACGUGCUACAAUGGCAUAUACAAAGAGAAGCGACCUCGCGAGAGCAAGCGGACCUCAUAAAAGUAUGUCGUAGUCCGGAUUGGAGUCUGCAACUCGACUCCAUGAAGUCGGAAUCGCUAGUAAUCGUAGAUCAGAAUGCUACGGUGAAUACGUUCCCGGGCCUUGUACACACCGCCCGUCACACCAUGGGAGUGGGUUGCAAA